rnacentral:lncRNA from 1 species
GUAAUGCACUCCACUUUUUUUUUUUUUUCCUAUUAGCACAGUGACUGAGAAAUUGUUGGAAGCUAAUAUAAUGUGUCACAUCCCUCUCAUCUAGCACUGACAGCGUGAGCUUGUGGCAGAUGGAUUACAGCACAUGCCUGUUGUGAAUGUUCCUAAUGUUCUCAGUUCUCCCAGCUGAGACAUGAGCGAAGCAGCCUUUGGAAAUCAUCUUGGAAGAGACAUUCAGCUUUCCGUUUUCUACACUUCAGGCAAGCACGUCCUUGCUGGCAGGAAGCCCAUCUGGUUCUGUUGUGUAGGAGGUGGCUGCAGGAGGUCAGAAUGCGAGGAGCCCAGGCUGGUGCAGAAAUGUCUUCUGAUCCCCAGGAAGCCGCGGGGCAGCGCAGCCCGGCUCAGCAGAGCUCUCCCAGCCUCUCAUGCAGACAAGUCAAAGCAGCUCUGGGCAGCCGCUGAGCAGUGGUUGGAAAGAAGUACAGCUGAAUCUUCCUUAUUCCUCAUGGAUCAGAAAAAGAGAUGUUCAUUCAGAGUACGUGCAGGAGAAAGGCUCUGCUGA